ACCCCACAAUAUGUCCGCAAAACUGAGCUCCCAAAAACUGAGGCAUGCAAGUGGAGAGGCCAGGACAUUAACUGUAAUAUCAAACCAGAAGCAGCGACUGCGCCAAUAAGAACAGAUGGAAUGACCAUGAAAAAACACCCAAAUCCUGCAAAAUAAGAAGUGAGCCUUGCUUGUCUGGAUGAGGAGGCUGCGAGGACUCUUUGGAAAUAGAUCUGCCAUGGAAUACUUCCAAGAGCCUGAAAAGAAGGUGAACUAUUAGAAGGAAAGGAUGGAAAAAAGAAGCUCUUACCACAUACAGAAGUUCAUCUAGCCAUCUUCCAAGAUACUCUGUUUCUAGUUUGCCAAUCCAUGGUACUUGAUAGAAUUCAUUAACAGCAGUGUAAUAAAUGCUUUCAGUUGCAGAGUUCAGCAGUGCAAAUGGCACACAAGUCCACUGUGUUUAGCAUGAAAACAAUUAUCAGUACAAAAGGAUAAUGUACACCAGACAACAUUUGUAACUCCUCUGUUUUCCCUAUAAACCUGAAAUUCCCCCUCCCCAGAUCAUACCACCACCAAAUCUUGGCAUUCCACAGAAAUCUGAAAUUGCCUCCCACCUUUAAGCUCUCAUAUGGGAUUUUUCUAAUGUUAAGGGUGAUGGUUGUGAGUAGACUGAGGCUGAGAAGGGGAAAAUAAAC